ACAGAAAACAAAAAAAAAAAAUAAAACCAAAAACAGAAAAAAAAACAAAAAAAAAAACAAGAACCAUUUAAAAAGCUUAUCAAGCACAAUGGCCAUCGAAAAGAGAACCAUGAUUGCCUCCUUCAUCAUCGUUCUGAUGAUGGUAACGAUGAUCGCAACCAACGUUGAGGCCCGGAAUCAUGUCAAAAUCAAGCCACCAGCAAACCCCAAGUUCUUCUUUUUCUAAAUUGAUGGCUCAUAAUGUUUACAAGAAAUAAAUGGUUGGCUUCAACAAGGAGCUUCAAGCCUUCAAGCAUUAGUUAAACUAAUGUUUACUUUUUAUAUAUAUAUAUAUAUAUAUAUAUAUUCACUUUCAUCCUCUUAUUUGUUUUAGCUAUGGGUGAGAUUAUCUAAAUAAAUUUUUAUAAAUAAUAACAUUUAUACUUGAAUAAAAUAAACUAGUUUCAAAUUUCAGUCACAAAGAUUUAUUUUAUGUUGUAGCUAGAAAUUAAUAACAAUUAUCAUUUAUCAAUAUAUUUGUUUUUAGUUUAAAGAGGGUAUAAUAUCCUUAAAUUAAUAAUAUUAGUAAAAUUGUGUUAUUUAGUUGUCUUGUGUCUCGAUAUAUAAGGAUUGGUUCGUUCCAUUGUAACUUAAAUGAUGAAUAACAACAACGUACGUGA